rnacentral:rRNA from 1 species
CCUACGGGAGGCAGCAGUGAGGAAUAUUGGUCAAUGGGCGAGAGCCUGAACCAGCCAAGUCGCGUGAGGGAGUACUGCCCUAUGGGUUGUAAACCUCUUUUGUCGGGGAGCAAAAGCCGGACGUGUCCGGCUGUGAGAGUACCCGAAGAAAAAGCAUCGGCUAACUCCGUGCCAGCAGCCGCGGUAAUACGGAGGAUGCGAGCGUUAUCCGGAUUUAUUGGGUUUAAAGGGGGCGCAGGCGGAUUUUUAAGUCAGCGGUAAAAUCGUGGGGCUCAACCCCAUCCAGCCGUUGAAACUGGGGAUCUAGAGUGUGCGAGAGGUAUGCGGAAUGCGUGGUGUAGCGGUGAAAUGCAUAGAUAUCACGCAGAACCCCGAUUGCGAAGGCAGCAUACCGGUGCACAACUGACGCUCAGGCACGAAAGCGUGGGUAUCGAACAGGAUUAGAUACCCGUGUAGUC